UCGAGCGGACAGAUGGGAGCUUGCUCCCUGAUGUUAGCGGCGGACGGGUGAGUAACACGUGGGUAACCUGCCUGUAAGACUGGGAUAACUCCGGGAAACCGGGGCUAAUACCGGAUGCUUGUUUGAACCGCAUGGUUCAAACAUAAAAGGUGGCUUCGGCUACCACUUACAGAUGGACCCGCGGCGCAUUAGCUAGUUGGUGAGGUAACGGCUCACCAAGGCGACGAUGCGUAGCCGACCUGAGAGGGUGAUCGGCCACACUGGGACUGAGACACGGCCCAGACUCCUACGGGAGGCAGCAGUAGGGAAUCUUCCGCAAUGGACGAAAGUCUGACGGAGCAACGCCGCGUGAGUGAUGAAGGUUUUCGGAUCGUAAAGCUCUGUUGUUAGGGAAGAACAAGUGCCGUUCAAAUAGGGCGGCACCUUGACGGUACCUAACCAGAAAGCCACGGCUAACUACGUGCCAGCAGCCGCGGUAAUACGUAGGUGGCAAGCGUUGUCCGGAAUUAUUGGGCGUAAAGGGCUCGCAGGCGGUUUCUUAAGUCUGAUGUGAAAGCCCCCGGCUCAACCGGGGAGGGUCAUUGGAAACUGGGGAACUUGAGUGCAGAAGAGGAGAGUGGAAUUCCACGUGUAGCGGUGAAUGCGUAGAGAUGUGGAGGAACACCAGUGGCGAAGGCGACUCUCUGGUCUGUAACUGACGCUGAGGAGCGAAAGCGUGGGGAGCGAACAGGAUU
rnacentral:rRNA from 1 species